rfam:Populus trichocarpa isolate Nisqually-1 chromosome 1, whole genome shotgun sequence.
UAAUUUAUCUAGACUAAAUCCUCUUUUAAUUAUAACAAACUCGUAUUUAUCACUGCUAAGAAUAACUUAUUAUUGCAAGCCUGACUUCAUCACUUUCAUUAGAAUUAACUUCCUAAACUACUAAUAUUUU